rnacentral:rRNA from 1 species
UACGUAGGGUCCGAGCGUUGUCCGGAAUUAUUGGGCGUAAAGGGCUCGUAGGCGGUCUGUCGCGUCGGGAGUGAAAACUCAGGGCUCAACCCUGAGCGUGCUUCCGAUACGGGCAGACUAGAGGUAUGCAGGGGAGAACGGAAUUCCUGGUGUAGCGGUGGAAUGCGCAGAGUAUCAGGAGGAACACCGGUGGCGAAGGCGGUUCUCUGGGCAUGUCCUGACGCUGAGGAGCGAAAGUGUGGGGAGCGAACAGG